CAAGGGAUAGUUUAAGAAGAAUCCCGGUUUUGGGGGCCGGAGGCAAGGGUUAAACCCCCUUUCCCUUGA
rnacentral:tRNA from 1 species